rnacentral:rRNA from 1 species
UACAGAGGGUGCGAGCGUUAAUCGGAAUUACUGGGCGUAAAGCGUGCGUAGACGGUUAUUUAAGUCGGGUGUGAAAGCCCCGGGCUCAACCUGGGAAUUGCAUUCGAGACUGAAUAGCUAGGGUACGGUAGAGGGAAGCGGAAUUUCCGGUGUAGCGGUGAAAUGCGUAGAUAUCGGAAGGAACAUCAGUGGCGAAAGCGGCUUCCUGGACCAGUACCGACGUUCAGGCACGAAAGCGUGGG